rnacentral:rRNA from 1 species
AUGAACGCUGGCGGCGUGCCUAAUACCUGCCAGUCGAGCGAACGGACGAGAAGCUUGCUUCUCUGAUGUUAGCGGCGGACGGGUGAGUAACACGUGGAUAACCUACCUAUAAGACUGGGAUAACUUCGGGAAACCGGAGCUAAUACCGGAUAAUAUUUUGAACCGCAUGGUUCAAAAGUAAAAGACGGUCUUGCUGUCACUUAUAGAUGGAUCCGCGCUGCAUUAGCUAGUUGGUAAGGUAACGGCUUACCAAGGCAACGAUGCAUAGCCGACCUGAGAGGGUGAUCGGCCACACUGGAACUGAGACACGGUCCAGACUCCUACGGGAGGCAGCAGUAGGGAAUCUUCCGCAAUGGGCGAAAGCCUGACGGAGCAACGCCGCGUGAGUGAUGAAGGUCUUCGGAUCGUAAAACUCUGUUAUUAGGGAAGAACAUAUGUGUAAGUAACUGUGCACAUCUUGACGGUACCUAAUCAGAAAGCCACGGCUAACUACGUG